rnacentral:rRNA from 1 species
GACGAACGCUGGCGGCGCGCUUAACACAUGCAAGUCGAGCGAUAACCAUGGCUUCGGCCAUGGGGAGAGCGGCGAACGGGUGAGUAACACGUGAGUAAUCUGCCCUCGACACUGGGAUAGGCCCGGGGAAACCCGGAUUAAUACCGGAUAGCCUCUCGAGCUUUCGGGCUCGUGAGAAAAGAUGGCUUCGGCUUUCGGUUGAGGAGGAGCUUGCGGCGGAUUAGCUUGUUGGUGAGGAACGGCCCACCAAGGCGACGAUCCGUAGCUGGUCUGAGAGGACGAUCAGCCACACUGGGACUGAGACACGGCCCAGACUCCUACGGGGAGGCAGCAGUGGGGAAUCUUGCGCAAUGGGCGAAAGCCUGACGCAGCGACGCCGCGUGAGGGAAGAAGGCC